AGGCUUUGAUCCUGGCUCAGAACGAACGCUGGCGGCAUGCCUAACACAUGCAAGUCGAACGAGCUCUUCGGAGCUAGUGGCGCACGGGUGCGUAACGCGUGGGAAUCUGCCCCUGGGUCUGGAAUAACAGUUAGAAAUGACUGCUAAUACCGGAUGAUGACGAGAGUCCAAAGAUUUAUCGCCCAGGGAUGAGCCCGCGUAGGAUUAGCUAGUUGGUGGGGUAAAGGCCUACCAAGGCGACGAUCCUUAGCUGGUCUGAGAGGAUGAUCAGCCACACUGGGACUGAGACACGGCCCAGACUCCUACGGGAGGCAGCAGUGGGGAAUAUUGGACAAUGGGCGAAAGCCUGAUCCAGCAAUGCCGCGUGAGUGAAGAAGGCCUUCGGGUUGUAAAGCUCUUUUACCCGGGAUGAUAAUGACAGUACCGUGGAGAAUAGCCCCGGCUACA
rnacentral:rRNA from 1 species